UGCUAUCUGCAGAUCCUAUCCACUGCUGUGAUCCCAUCUGACCGCCCAGGCUAAGUGGUAUUGGGCCUGGUCAGUAGUUGGGUGGCACACUUCAAGGCGGUGCUUCAGGAAAUAGUAC
rnacentral:rRNA from 1 species